AACGAACGCUGGCGGCAUGCCUAACACAUGCAAGUCGAACGAGACCUUCGGGUCUAGUGGCGCACGGGUGCGUAACGCGUGGGAACCUGCCCUUAGGUUCGGAAUAACUCCCCGAAAGGGGUGCUAAUACCGGAUAAUGUCUUCGGACCAAAGAUUUAUCGCCUUUGGAUGGGCCCGCGUUGGAUUAGCUAGUUGGUAGGGUAAAAGCCUACCAAGGCGACGAUCCAUAGCUGGUCUGAGAGGAUGAUCAGCCACACUGGGACUGAGACACGGCCCAGACUCCUACGGGAGGCAGCAGUGGGGAAUAUUGGACAAGGGGCGAAAGCCUGAUCCAGCAAUGCCGCGUGAGUGAUGAAGGCCGUAGGGUUGUAAAGCUCUUUUACCCGGGAUGAUAAUGACAGUACCGGGAGAAUAAGCUCCGGCUAACUACGUG
rnacentral:rRNA from 1 species